GAUGAACGCUGACAGAAUGCUUAACACAUGCAAGUCUACUUGAUCCUUCGGGUGAUGGUGGCGGACGGGUGAGUAACGCGUAAAGAACUUGCCCUGCAGUCUGGGACAACAUUUGGAAACGACUGCUAAUACCGCAUAAGCCCACGGUGCCGCAUGGCACAGCGGGAAAAGGAUUUAUUCGCUUCAGGAUGGACUCGCGUCCAAUUAGCUAGUUGGUGAGGUAACGGCCCACCAAGGCGACGAUUGGUAGCCGGACUGAGAGGUUGAACGGCCACAUUGGGACUGAGACACGGCCCAGACUCCUACGGGAGGCAGCAGUGGGGGAUAUUGCACAAUGGGGGAAACCCUGAUGCAGCGACGCCGCGUGGAGGAAG
rnacentral:rRNA from 1 species